UCCCUGGUGGUCCAGUGGCUAAGACUCUGUACUCCCUAUGCAGGGGCCCAGGUUCAACUCCUAGUCAGAGAA
rnacentral:tRNA from 1 species